CAAGCAGAAAGAAUGACUCAGUGAAAAAACUUGGAGACACCUAAAGAGCCACUAAGCUACUAGAAAAGCAAGAAUGAGCCAGACUCUGGACAUGAGCUCCAGCCACAGAUGCCCCUGGGGCCCUCCUGCUCCCUCCCCACUCACCUACUUUGGGCAACAGGCACUGGCUUCUUUUAUUUGCACUGAAAAUUGGCUUUCUCUGUGACAGCCAACAGCUUCCAAUGGGAUCUCAGCUGCCAGCGAGAGCCUCACUCUCACUCCACAUCCAGAAACCUCAGAGCAGCACUCAUUGCCUCCCAGUCAGCAGAGGCCAGCUGGGUACAAGGAGACCCCAGGGGAAGGUGGACCGGGCAGGCAAACUGGGGACGUCCAUACCAAGCCACCAUCACGCAGUGAUCUUUGCUUCCGGAAUAGCAUUUGGAAGCCACUAGGCAAAUGUUUGUCAUUUGAAACUCGUUCCCUGUGCAGGGCUGGGCAAGUGCCGGGUCUGGAGCUCAGAGCAGCUACUGGAGCCAUUUGGCUGGCACCUGCGUGUGCUUACAAGUGAGCGAUCUCCAGCACCAGUGCCACCAGCUUCUUCCAGGGCCUUGAGGUGCAGUGACCAGGGAGGGUGUGGAAGCUUCUCUAGGCAGGAACACCAUGCUCUCAGAGGGCCUCUUCCAUCAGCUUGCCUGUAGCCAGCCUGACAGUCAUCCCCACUCCCUGGAUAAGGGAUUCCAAGUCCCUGGGCAGGCAGUGCUGGUUCUCACUGAUGUAACCUCGUGUUCCUGCAUGCUUUUCAAGUGCAGGCGAGCCCAUCAGCAGCUCAGAGAAGAUGGCAGGAAGCAAGGGGCGGAAGGGAGAGGAGGAGAGGUCGACACACAGUGCUUGGGCCACACGGGCAGAGAGUCCACGGAAAUGGUUUUGAGUAUGUGCACCAAGAAGGAGAGGCGCUGAGACUCUGGCCAGCCCUGUGACCUGUCUGCCCUGCAGUUCUCAGACAAGCGUGCUGAGCUCACCUCCCUGCCACCCAGGUGGGAGGGGUCCCGCUACCUGCAGGUCCUCCCUGCAAAUGGCUUCUUGGCCUUGUCAGUGCUGACUCCACGGCAGCCCAUGGGUCUCGAUAAGUGGGGUCCACCCUGUCGUGCUCCUCACUGCAGAAGCCACCAAGGUCCCAGGCCUGGACGAACGCAUUUGAGUUUACAUGGGUGAUGAAGACAGAGAGUUCUUUGAACUGGGCAUCCAGUUUCUCUUGUGGAUGCCCAAAAUGAGCAGAGACUGACUUCCUGCCUCUCCUGGGUAAUGCUGGCAACCUCGCCCCAUCCCCCUGGCAUCACUUUUGUG
rnacentral:lncRNA from 13 species